AAUCUCCCACAAGUGGGCUUAGUUUGUGCCCUUAAUUAAUUUCAUAAAGCUAGCAAUUUUACUUGCUUUACUUACUAACAAAACUAACUUGGGCUUCCACCCAAAAUUUGAUUACGUCAUUAUAAUACUUGUCACAUACAUAAUAUGCUGAGCUAGAUUAAAUAAUUUAAUCAUCCUUAAUCAUUUAUCUACAAGUUCCCAUGCUUAAUUAAUUAAUUGGGCUUGUUUAAAUAAUAUAACCUCCUUAGCCCAUUAAAUCCACUUCUCUUGGACUCUAUUCAAAAUAAUUGGGCUAUAACCUUAUUAUAAUCCAUUAUUUUUAAUUCUAUUUCAUUCUACCCUUAUCUUUAAAUUAGGGUUUACAUCUCUCACUCUAGAAAAUAAAUUCCUUACUCAUGCCCUUUUAAUUUCAUAAACCAAAUUAUACUUGGUUAUAAAAUUAAUUAUUGGAGAUAUAUAAAAUAAAUCUCUUAAUGUCAGUAUAUACAUUUAUAUACUAAUAUUCUCCCAUAUUAUAACCUCUCAGGUUAUUUAAU
rnacentral:lncRNA from 1 species